ACAAAAUCACGCUAGUAAAUAUUCCAGUAUGCAUUAAACAUGCAAGUGAACGCCGGUUAAUUCAAUGAGAAAUGAGUUCAGAAGGAAGCGCAUCUUUAGGCAAAAAGGACAUUAACGUCGAGUGGUCAAGACUUUGUGCCUCGAAGGCGACAGCGUCAUGGCAGUUCAUCGAGGAUUGGCGAAGACAUUAAGUGGAAACACAACCGAAGCCUUCGCUCUGCUAUCCCCUUUCGCCAACAAAUUAUUCUCACAACCUUGACACACGAGUCGACGAAGGCGUCAACUGACCAUCUUCAACGACUUCAGUAAAGUGCCGCCAUUCAAUCGCCGCUCGGCGGCUGUCCAUCAACUACUUUACGUCAGCACAUUUUGUCGACCUAACACUGAUGAAUCCGAAGCGACAACGAAGAGCUUAAAAGUAAUCACGAUAAGUGAACGGGUUGGAUAUGGGAUGUCACCAGGAGACGGUACGUAACAGACUCGCGAAUCCCUCUGUGUGUGUACGUAUGAAUUUGACCUGAAACGUAUCAAACAACUCAUUUACGGCUCAGUACAUAAUCUAUUUUUCUCGUUGCUUGUAUUUGUUAUACUGCAUACUGAAAAACAAAUCAGAAAGCGCAUAAUGCUGCACACUCACGAGUACAAUUCACUCGCGACUACCGUCAGCCGAAGGAGAUCAUCCAUUCAGCAAGAAUCAUGGAAAUGAGAUUGUGGAGAACGGCAACACCGCUGCUCUUUUUUUGCUGUCGCCGGGCGUUGCGGAGUCAAAUGAAAGAUUUAGGUCGUCGUCUAAACCAUUACAAGCUCUAUGCAUGCCGUUUCUACUGCGGCCAUUUUUAAAGGAACAAGUAACGCACAAAAAAUUUGAUGUGACGGUAACAAGAAUAUCUAAGGUGUCGUAUUGUGCUGAAAAUAGAAAGGAAGGUAGUUGCUGGCGCCGAGUAGGAUAAGUUGUAUUAAAUCUUAGAAAUCGUAUAGGGUGCGGCCCCAAAACGGCGCUAGGACCUAUUGACGGUGGCGGUCUUUUAGUUUUGAUCUAGGCGCUUUGCUGCAGUUUUUCAUUAACAUCACCAGUCGCCUUUGACGGUCGUCGCUGAGAAGUGUGACGUUUUUUGACACACUCACAUAACACGGCUCGUCUUGAACCUACUCGUUCGACUCAUGGGAUGCAAACUUGUGAAAGCGGGUGCAUACAAGCGGACGGAUGCUCAGACCGACGAAUUGCGCAGAAGAAGACUCCGGAGCACUCUGGGUGGCGCUAAAAGGAGGAUGAGAGCAAGCCCGUUCCCGGACAAAGGCUAGCUCGGGCAACGUAAGAAUAGUCGGUCGUCUGAGUCUUCUAAAAUGGGGUUCAAGCCCAUUUGGCUCUGAAUAGUCAUCAUAGCUAGCAAAAGGCAAGAGCCCUUCAUGAGCCAGCAGCAGCAGCGAGGUCAGCCGUGAAGCAUUCGAGCAGGCAAAAGAGCAAGUGACCGAACGCGCUUUUUCGCACUCCAGUCUAAGGGAAAAAAAAUAGGGGACGUUUACUCUCCUGUUCUCGUAGAAAAAGAAAGAGGGCGUCACAGGACGGCUACCGCUCGAAAAAGAGUGCUAUUAUGCAUCAUCAUCUGAGUUAACAGCAUGAGUCCUGCAAUAGGUGACUACCAAGAAGGCAGACCUUCAACGACCACUCGAAAGAAUAUAGGAAAAAAAACGGAAAAAGGAGUAGCUUAAAAAAGAGGACUUAUAUAUGACCCACCGCUUCGUUUUCUGUUACCGCUGCCAGUGACCGUCAUUGAACGCUACUCACACAAGUGGAAAAUGGUAAACGCACACCAGAUACCGUCUGUAUCCAUCAGUGUAGAUCCCUAACAGUUGCUAUUAUAAUAAGAGAUUAACACAAAUCAUUGCAGAAUCAACAGAAACACAUUUUGAUAUAGUUUUCUACCUUAGAAUAUUAUUUGCCUAAAACAAAAUCUCUGAUCAAUGGAUCUUUGCGAUGAGAGUGUUUAUGUCGGCAAAGGCAACAACGGUACAUUCUUCGUUGAGCUGGAAAAUCUACUGCAAAGUUAAUCGCGAGAUUGACUAUUGAGUCUGACGCAGUUGUAACGGUAUUAGAUGCAGAAAUGCAAAUAGUGAAGGCUUGUGGAUUUCUACGAUACCUCGAGAUUUUUCAAGAUUCAGUAAUGUCUUACAGUGCUGCCAUUGCUGUUACUGUUUUUUGUUACUGGAGAUACUUACAACAGGUUACAAGCAUACAUGCACUAUGUAAUUCUUUGUAAGGCGCAAUCACUAAGGCAUCGUUGAGUUAAGCAACUAAGAACUAGUAAAACUUUGUCCUUUUCUGCUCAGCCUUCUAUGAAAAAGGUGUCUUUAGCUCUGGCAGUCCUUACGUGGUUUCACCUUUGGGGUUGAAUCAGCCAGUUAUCAUCACAACAUGACGAUUAACCGAUCCGACUCUAAAAGAACUGCUAUACAAUUUAUCGGGUGAUAGUUACCUGUAUUUGUAGUAAAUAGAGACGUCUUGGAGAAAUCACCGGAACGAUAGAAAUCAUAGAAUGCUAUUAAACUCAUUCGAUGGAGUGUCCUCCCUUACAAUUCGCACUGCGUGUCUAUUCGUCUGGGUGUUUGUGGUAAUACUCAGUAAUAGUCUUUAAACUGAGCCUAGGGUGUAUUUGGAUUACUUAGCAAAUUGCAAAUUUACGUACGUUUAUCUGCGUCACGCGUUUCUUAUGGUGCAAACUAGUGUUCGGUCUGAACAAGUAUGACCUAUCACCUAUAGUAAUUACUUCAACACUUGAAAACCAUAAUGACUGUUACGCUAAUUAUAAAUAUACUACCAUACUAGAUGAAGGUUAAUGCUAUUGUACCAGCUACUGCAAUUGCGUUGACGAGCAGAGGUCAUCCGCUAAGGCUUGUAAAUAUGCGCUUGUUGGAUAACUAACGUAUUAUCUAGAACAAUUAGGUUCCAAAGCGGGCGAAGGCGAUAAAGGAUAGGCAACGGAAGGAACAAAAGCGUAUGACUACAUUCGUUGAAAUUAACAGCACCGGACUAACAACCUGUACGACCGCUACCCGUCGUAGCCCAUGCCAAGCAGAUAUCGAUAUCGUAUUGCUGCCAGGACACACCCGUCUCUGGAAGGUGAUGGUAGUAAGCGAUUAGCAACCGCCUAGUUCAUAAUAAUAUGAUGGUCUACCAUGUUACACGAAGUGAACUAAAUUUGUCCUUUUAAAUACAAUUGCAAGGGAUCUGUCUGAAAUGACUUAGGUCUAGGCAACAACACAUGUACAACAGGGGCACCUAGGAUCGCUACGCACGUUGAAAUGGUGGCUUGUUCGUGAUUGUCUGAAAGUAACUAGUAAGAUACCCUGAAAAAUUAACGACCUAUUGUCGAUAAGGUCUCUGAUAGUUCUUCUACACUCUUCUUUGUGUUGCUUCGUCCAUCAGAGGGGCAAUGCAGAGUUUGUGUUGUUUCGCUUGGAAUAUGAAACGUAUAUGUUGAUAGUCAUAUCAUUCUGUUUAAAUAAGCACUAUGUCCUAUCGGCCAUAUGGUCGAAAGCUGCAACAACAAUAACGCAACGGUAGAUAAUUAACGGCAAAACUUGCAGCAAUGCCUCAGACGCUGGCUACGGAAGCAUUUCAACAUAGCACAACAAGCCAACGCAAAUUUGCCCCUUCCAGUAACUAAGGGAUACAACAAAGAGUAAAAAUGGCCGCGGGCGAAAGCCGAUUGUGACGUCGCAGUUGCUGCUGCUAAGCGGCUCCUGUCUCCGUCGCCAGCAGCGGCUGUUUGGGGUGGCUAACACGAUCCGUCAGAAGGGGUCUAGCUGCCACGAGGCGUCGUGGGAAAAAGCUAAAAGCGAAAGUCUAAGUCAUCAGUAAAAAAAAAAAAAUAAUGUCUCUGUGUCCCUAAGGACACCCGAACCCGACGGCCAGCGCAGCCACCAAGAAUAAAGGCAAAAGGCGCGCUGGGGCGAGAAUAAACAGCGCCAAAAAACGUUGUCGUCCGCUAUCCCAAAACUAACAAAAAACUUAACUAAUAAUGCUGAAUUCUAGUUUCUAUAGGAUUUAGAAAAUAUGUCACAACGUGCGUCUACUGUAGAACGGAUAUCUAGCUUAUACUAGAUAUAUACCUUUUACGUACAGCUGCUUGCCUUGCAUAGUGACUGUUACUAUGUGAUGCUGUACUUCUUCAUGAUAUAGAACUAACCAAGGCUAUUGCUCAAUAAACUACUGCUUCCUGCUAUUUUUACUCAUUUUGACAGUUUGGCUCCAAAACAAUUCGACCUUUGAUAAAAGAAGCUCGAAUUAUUGAUCGGUUGUAUGUUGAU